GCGCACCAGGCGAGAAUACUUUACAAUGUGCGAAAGCACGAUAAGGGAACUCUGAGUGCCUCCUAAGGAGGCUGUUCAGGUGUCUAAAAAGCACCUGGAGUAAGGGCUGGAUAAGACCGGUGCCAGCCGCCGCGGUAACACCGGCAGCCCAGGUGGUAGCCACUUUUAUUGGGUCUAAAGCGUCCGUAGCCGGUUGAGUAAGUUCCUUGGGAAAUUUGGCUGCUCAACAGCCAAGCUUCCAGGGAAUACUGCUCGACUUGGGACUGGGAGAGGUCAGAGGUACUCCAGGGGUAGGGGUGAAAAUCCAUUAAUCCCUGGGGGACCACCGGUAGCGAAGGCGUCUGACCAGACCAGGUCCGACGGUGAGGGACGAAGGCUAGGGUCGCGAA
rnacentral:rRNA from 1 species